rnacentral:rRNA from 1 species
UCGAGGCGUUCGAAUUCGAUAGCUAGUGUAGUAGACUACCAUGUCCGAUCAGUACCGGUUCGAGAGAAUGAUCGCACACCUGGACUGAGACACGUCCAGACUCUACGGGAGGCAGCAGUGGGGAAUUUGACAUGGACGCAGCCUGAUCCAGCAUGCCGCGUGUUCUGAGAAGGCCUUCGGGUUGUAAAGGACUUUUGUCAGGGAAGAAAAGGCUGUGCUAAUACCGACAGCUGAUGACGGUACCUGAAGAAUAAGCACCGGCUAACUACGUGCCAGCAGCCGCGGUAAUACGUAGGGUGCGAGCGUUAAUCGGAAUUACUGGGCGUAAAGCGAGCGCAGACGGUUACUUAAGCAGGAUGUGAAAUCCCCGGGCUCAACCUGGGAACUGCGUUCUGAACUGGGUGACUAGAGUGUGUCAGAGGGAGGUAGAAUUCCACGUGUAGCAGUGAAAUGCGUAGAGAUGUGGAGGAAUACCGAUGGCGAAGGCAGCCUCCUGGGAUAACACUGACGUUCAUGCUCGAAAGCGUGGGUAGCAAACAGGAUUAGAUACCCUGGUAGUCCACGCCCUAAACGAUGUCAAUUAGCUGUUGGGCAACUUGAUUGCUUAGUAGCGUAGCUAACGCGUGAAAUUGACCGCCUGGGGAGUACGGUCGCAAGAUUAAAACUCAAAGGAAUUGACGGGGACCCGCACAAGCGGUGGAUGAUGUGGAUUAAUUCGAUGCAACGCGAAGAACCUUACCUGGUCUUGACAUGUACGGAAUCCUCCAGAGACGGAGGAGUGCCUUCGGGAACCGUAACACAGGUGCUGCAUGGCUGUCGUCAGCUCGUGUCGUGAGAUGUUGGGUUAAGUCCCGCAACGAGCGCAACCCUUGUCAUUAGUUGCCAUCAUUUAGUUGGGCACUCUAAUGAGACUGCCGGUGACAAGCCGGAGGAAGGUGGGGAUGACGUCAAGUCCUCAUGGCCCUUAUGACCAGGGCUUCACACGUCAUACAAUGGUCGGUACAGAGGGUAGCCAAGCCGCGAGGUGGAGCCAAUCUCACAAAACCGAUCGUAGUCCGGAUUGCACUCUGCAACUCGAGUGCAUGAAGUCGGAAUCGCUAGUAAUCGCAGGUCAGCAUACUGCGGUGAAUACGUUCCCGGGUCUUGUACACACCGCCCGUCACACCAUGGGAGUGGGGGAUACCAGAAGUAGGUAGGGUAACCGCAAGGAGCCCGCUACCACGUAGCUUAAGGG